CCUACGGGAGGCAGCAGUGAGGAAUAUUGGUCAAUGGGCGAGAGCCUGAACCAGCCAAGUCGCGUGAGGGAGUACUGCCCUAUGGGUUGUAAACCUCUUUUGUCGGGGAGCAAAAGCCGGACGUGUCCGGCUGUGAGAGUACCCGAAGAAAAAGCAUCGGCUAACUCCGUGCCAGCAGCCGCGGUAAUACGGAGGAUGCGAGCGUUAUCCGGAUUUAUUGGGUUUAAAGGGUGCGCAGGCGGAUUUUUAAGUCAGCGGUCAAAUUUUGUGGCUCAACCAUGAGAGUGCGGCGCGAACUGGAGACCUUGAGUGCGCGGAAGGCAGGCGGAAUUCGUGGUGUAGCGGUGAAAUGCUUAGAUAUCACGAAGAACCCCGAUUGCGAAGGCAGCCUGCCGCAGCGUUACUGACGCUGAAGCUCGAAAGCGCGGGUAUCGAACAGGAUUAGAUACCCGAGUAGUC
rnacentral:rRNA from 1 species